rnacentral:ribozyme from 1 species
CGAACUUCUCUUCUUCACAACCAUCGUACAUCGCAAUUACAAACAGUUACAAAGGUUGAACUUUUCCUUCUUCUUCACAACCACCGUACAUUA